rnacentral:rRNA from 1 species
GAAACUGCCCAGUAGUGGGGGAUAGCCCGGGGAAACCCGGAUUAAUACCGCGUACGCCCUUCGGGGGAAAGCAGGGGAUCUUCGGACCUUGCGCUAUUGGAUGUGCCUAUGUCGGAUUAGCUAGUUGGUGGGGUAAAGGCCUACCAAGGCGACGAUCCGUAGCUGGUCUGAGAGGAUGAUCAGCCACAUCGGGACUGAGACACGGCCCGAACUCCUACGGGAGGCAGCAGUGGGGAAUAUUGGACAAUGG